rnacentral:rRNA from 1 species
UACGAAGGGGGCUAGCGUUGUUCGGAAUCACUGGGCGUAAAGGGCGCGUAGGCGGCUUUAUAAGUCGGGGGUGAAAGCCUGUGGCUCAACCACAGAAUUGCCUUCGAUACUGUAGAGCUUGAGACCGGAAGAGGUAAGUGGAACUGCGAGUGUAGAGGUGAAAUUCGUAGAUAUUCGCAAGAACACCAGUGGCGAAGGCGGCUUACUGGUCCGGUUCUGACGCUGAGGCGCGAAAGCGUGGGGGGCAAACAGG